rnacentral:rRNA from 1 species
AAGGAUCAUUAUCGUAAAACCGAGGUGCGAGGGCUGUCGCUGACCUUUUCGGUUGUGCACGCCCGAGCGCUCUCACACAAUCCAUCUCACCCCUUGUGCACCACCGCGUGGGUCCCUCUCUGGCUCGUCCGGAGGUGGGCUCGCGUUUUCACACAAACUUGAAGUAGUGUAGAAUGUCCUUUUUUGCGAUAACACGCAAUCAAUACAACUUUCAACAACGGAUCUCUUGGCUCUCGCAUCGAUGAAGAACGCAGCGAAAUGCGAUACGUAAUGUGAAUUGCAGAAUUCAGUGAAUCAUCGAAUCUUUGAACGCACCUUGCGCCCCUUGGCAUUCCGAGGGGCACACCCGUUUGAGUGUCGUGAAAUUCUCAAAAACCUUUUCUUUUGGUCAUUUUUGACCAUGGAAAGGAUUUUGGACUUGGAGGCCUUUUGCUGGUUUCACCUUGAAGCAAGCUCCUCCCAAAUGAAUUAGUGGGGUCUGCUUUGUCGGUCCUUGGCGUGAUAAGUUGUUUCUACGUCUCGGAUUUUGGCACUGUACACCUGCUUCUAACCCGUCUCAUCGACAACGAUGGUG